GAUGAACGCUGGCGGCGUGCCUAACACAUGCAAGUCGAGCGGGGCUGUGGAGUAGCUUGCUACAAAACAGCCUAGCGGCGGACGGGUGAGUAACGCGUGGGCAACCUGCCCUAUACAGGGGGAUAACACACCGAAAGGUGUGCUAAUACCCCAUAAAGCUAAGAGAUCGCAUGAUCAAUUAGCCAAAGAUUUAUCGGUAUAGGAUGGGCCCGCGUCUGAUUAGCUAGUUGGUGAGGUAAAGGCUCACCAAGGCGACGAUCAGUAGCCGACCUGAGAGGGUGAUCGGCCACACUGGAACUGAGACACGGUCCAGACUCCUACGGGAGGCAGCAGUGGGGAAUAUUGCACAAUGGGGGAAACCCUGAUGCAGCAACGCCGCGUGAGCGAUGAAGGCCUUCGGGUCGUAAAGCUCUGUCCUAAGGGAAGAACAAAUGACGGUACCUUAGGAGGAAGCCCCGGCUAACUACGUGCCAGCCGCCGCAGUAAUAC
rnacentral:rRNA from 1 species